rfam:Hordeum vulgare subsp. vulgare, WGS project CAJW01000000 data, contig: morex_contig_1749057
CAAAUACUCCCUCCGUCCAGAAUUACUUAUCGGAAAAAUGAAUAAAAAAGAAUGUAUCUAGAACUAAAAUACAUCUAGAUACAUAUAUUCUUAUGACAAGUAUUUCCGAACGGAGGCAGUAAAUA